UUUGCAGGACAUCAAGAAAGCAGAUCAUGAUGAUUGGGAGAAUGGGUUGACAGCAAUGGAGUGUGCUUUGCACCUGGAAAAGAAUGUGAACCAGUCACUCCUUGACCUGCACAUGCUGGCAACUAACAAGAAUGACCCUCAUUUGUGUGACUUCAUUGAUGUAAUGAUCGGAAGAGCGUGUG